CCUACCUGUAGGGGCAGAGCAGGAGGAAGCCCAGGGAGAAACUGGUCUGUGAUGCAAUCACGGUGCAAGCCGCGGCUUAUCCCAUGGAAAGCUAUAACAGUAGGGCUGUUCUGAGUUGCCCUGAGCCGUAGAACAGCAGCCUGACCUCUGCAUUCUACAGCUCUGGAAUGUCGGCUGGCCAGCAGAACUGGAGUGAAGAUGCUGCACAAAGUGCCAAGUGUUGUCAAAACAGAAAACAGGGAGCAGCACUGGAACAUACAGGCCCUGUGCACAUGGAUGUGUGUCAUCUGGACACAGGGAACAUGCCUGUUUCCUGAUAACCCAUGCUGAAAGCAUCCUAAAGACAGAUUGCUUGGACACUUCUUACCUCAGUGGUAGUUUUGUACCAUGCACCAAAGAAAGUCAUCUAAAUAUCUCUACUUUUGUUGAGUAGGCAUUACAGAUUCACUCAGAGCUUUUUGAAGUAUAUUCCCAUAAAGAAACAUAAUCUUUUUCAGAAUUCUAGAAUGAAAGUCAAAUAUUACUUCAUUGAGACAAGCAUUAUUGCCUUUAAAAUGCCAUUUAACCAAUACCUGAAAAACUACACAUGUUGUCUUUACAUUAUUAUUACUAAGUAUAUCUGUACAUCAUUAGUAAAAUGUCAAAAUUCAGAAAUAUUUACCAGUAUUCUUUUUUUUUUUUUUUUGACAGGCAGAGUGGACAGUGAAAGAGAGAGACAGAGAGAAAGGUCUUCCUUUGCCGUUGGUUCACCCUCCAAUGGCCGCCACGGCCGGUGUGCUACGGCCGGCACACCGCGCUGAUCCGAUGGCAGGAGCCAGGUGCUUCUCCUGGUCUCCCAUGGGGUGCAGGGCCCAAGCACUUGGGCCAUCCUCCACUGCACUCCCUGGCCACAGCAGAGAGCUGGCCUGGAAGAGGGGCAACCGGGACAGAAUCCGGCGCCCCGACUGGGACUAGAACCCGGUGUGCCGGCACCGCAAGGCAGAGGAUUAGCCUAGUGAGCCGCGGCGCCGGACCCCAGUAUUCUUUUUUUAAUUAAUUUAUUUAUUUGAAAGUCAGAGCUACACAGAGAGAGGAGAGGCAGAGAGAGAGAGAGAGAGAGAGAGAGAGAGGUCUCCCAUCCACUGAUUCACUCCCUAGUUAGCCGCAAUGGCUGGAGCUGCACCGAUCUGAUGCCAGGAGCCAGGAGUUUCCUUCAGGUCUUCCCAUGCAGGUACAGGGGCCCAAGCCCAUGGGCCAUUUUCUGCUGCUUUCCCAGGCCAUAGCAAAGAGCUGGAUCAGAAGUGGAGCAGCUGAGACUUGAACUGGUGUCCAUAUGGGAUGCCGGCGCUGCAGGUGGCAGCUUUACCCACUAUGCCACAGUGCCAGCCCCUACCAGUAUUCUUGCCAUGGAUGUAGGUUCUUCAGGCUGAUAUAUCAGGGAAACAAACUUGAACUAGCGUGAGAAGAGAAAACACAUUGUUUAUUUCAACGGCAUAAGAGUAUUUUUUAAGAACUUAAUGACAGAAAGACAAGAUUUAAGAAGGAAACAAACAAGGAAAGUUGUGGGUUUUUCUGUAUUAACUUUGCAGUUAGUUAGUAUAUGUCUAUCCUUAAAGUUAAGUUUUACUUUUUUGAAUUUGAGGCAUGAGUCACAAUUCCUACAAAAUAUCAACUGGUUUCUUGGAGGAGGGGUAGAUAUACUCCUUUGUGCCAUAUCUGUGGUUACUGAGCAAGAUCAGCUAAGGCGACGAUGAACACAUGGGCCAUCCUGGGGCAUCCAUGAUGGUUAUCAGAAAAGGAAAGAAGUUUUCAGAGCUGCUCAUAGCUCUCUGGUAAUUAACUACAAAAACAAGUCUGACAUCACUUCUGCUGAUGAAAGUUGAUGGCAAGAAUGCACGUCUCCUUCAGCUGCAUGUAUUUUCUAGGUCAAUACAUUGGCCUUUCCUCCAUGUUAUAAAAUUCAAUCAUGGUGUUCAAUCACUGCCUCUCAUAUGUGUAGUAUAAUAAAAUAUGUUCAAUAUGAAACAAUGGACAUGAUGUAUCUGAUAAUGUACCACCAUACCUUAAAUAAAGAUUAUAUCCUGAAGAGUCUCUUUA